rnacentral:tRNA from 1 species
UGGAGAGGUGUCCGAGUGGUUCAUGGUGACGCACUCGAAAUGCGUUUUGGGGAAACCCAACGGGGGUUCGAAUCCCCCCCUCUCCGU